UACAGAGGGGGCAAGCGUUGUUCGGAAUUACUGGGCGUAAAGGGCGCGUAGGCGGCCUUCUAAGUCGAACGUGAAAUCCCCGGGCUCAACCCGGGAACUGCGUCCGAGACUGGAAGGCUCGAAUCCGGGAGAGGGAUGUGGAAUUCCAGGUGUAGCGGUGAAAUGCGUAGAUAUCAGGAAGAACACCAAUGGCGAAGGCAGCUCUCUGGGACGGUACUGACGCUGAGACGCGAAAGCGUGGGGAGCGAACAGG
rnacentral:rRNA from 1 species